UGGUUAUUUUGCCAACAAAUCCUCCGACCUUGAAAGUGAAAGUAAGUCUUUCGGCAAAACACACGACUAAGAAGUAAUCAAAGGCAAUUCAAGCCAAACUUGGAGCAGUCCUCUAAUAUGCCUGCGUGCUGACUGAAGGAGUUGACUUACACCACAUCAUCUCACAAGCCAGUCUUCCUACAGAAAUCUGUUGCUGAGAUUCGUCAGACAUGGCAUUGUUGCAUACCUAUCACCCAGAAGAAAAGACAAAGCUUCUAUCUAUACCAUCCAGUGGCAAUUGUGGAGUCCACAGGGUACUCAGGCUUGGAUGCUAGAAAUAGCUGCAUCAGUACUUCCAAAACAAACCACAUAGUGUUAGGAAUGACCACAUCUUGAAUCAGAAUAUGAAUUCUACAAAAUGGACUUAACAGAAGCUAUUUAGGCUUCUUGCAAAAUGGAGUGAGUUGACAUGGAACAAAAAGACAUGGAGAUAAUUUGGAAAAGGUGGUUGUUUUCAACAGCCCCAAGUUACAAAGAUCCAAAAAAUGAUGGAAAUACCUUCACAUGUACUUGUUUGUUGACUAAUUAAGUCGUUUAUCAUAAAUCAUCCAUGGAGAAAGUGAAUUGAAUCAACAUGUUAUUGAAAUGUAAACAGCAUCCUGAAUUUCUAUUUCUAGACUUCCAGGUUCUAUAAAAGAUCUACUCGAAUUUUUUUUUUCUCCCAACUUUUGAUAAAUUGCUUGAGAAGACAAACUCAGAUGGUUGGAAGCCUCAGCUAUAGACACAGGUGAGAUUACCUGGAGACAUCUGUGGCAAAUUGGAGGGGGUAACUUCUGUGCUACUUCUGCAGAGGGCUAUCAGUGGGCGACAUCGGCCAGUAUUUCUAGCACACCCACAUUUUCUAGUGAAAUUGCCAAAUCAUUAAAUGUCAGCAGCCCAUUCCUUUUUCAAAAACAAUGUAUGUAUGUCAAAAAGCCUAGUUCAGCUUUGGGGCCGUUAGUUCAGAGCCUCUGCUUUGAAUGAGACAUUUGAUCAUGAGAGCUAGAGGGCCUUGUUCAAAAUCUGGGAUAAAAGUCUUGAAUAGAAUCAAUCUCUUACUUGUUCUGCUUAUUCAUGGCAUUCAUAAUAGAUAAAAUGUUCUAAAUCUUUUCUUUCAAAUGCUUAGAUUAUUGUUAUACUCUGCAGUUGCUUUCACUGGUAUUAUUGUGGUCCAUUAACACAAAUUUGUCUCCAAAAUUUAUUAUUUUGGAUUUUUAUCUCAUAGCCUUUUUGAGAAGCAUUUUCAUUUCAGUGGCUACAUUUAAUCUGAGAUGCAGCUUUAAAUUGCUGGUAUCCCAAUCCAAGGUUAGUUGAGACAAGUGGGAACACAAAAAAUCCCAAUAAUUUGGCAAUCCUUCAAACUAAUAUUCCACACAUAUUGGUUCAAAUGAAUUUAGACAUAGAUUCCAGUUUUCAGAUCUGACAAGUAAAGAGCUUAGAAAUCGUCAUUCCUGUCCUUAAAAUAAGAAAAAAGCUGAACAAAAUCAAUGACUGUUCUUACAUCCAUCAGAUAAUUGAGGUUGCAGGGCAAAACACCCCUCUAAAACCUGGAAAGACAAGUGAAUACAGAGAAUCAGCCAAGAUCAGCUUGAGAUAGCCUGGGACCUGGGAGCCUUUGCUGCAGUGCCUGCACCUGGACAAACGCCUCCUCCAGCAACAGAAUACAAAGAAUCUAUUCGGGACUAACAAUAACCUUGUGCAUGCUCAGUUGGGGCAAAUUAUGAACAGCAAGGUACAAAACACCAAAAACCCAACUGUCACUUCUGAGAUGCCCAGAGCAAAAGCAGGGUACUGCGCAUGCGCCCUGCACACAGCAUCACCAAGGGGGUGG